rnacentral:rRNA from 1 species
CUUGAUUCUCUGCUAUCAGUUUUCUUUCUCUCAUCCUNAACACAAUGGAGUUUUUUCUCUAUGAACUACUUCCCUGGAGAGCUCGUCUCUCCAGUGGACAUAAACACAAACAACAUUUUGCAUUAUGAAAAACUAUUUAUCAAGAAAUUUAAUAUUCAAAACUUUCAACAACGGAUCUCUUGGUUCUNGCAUCGAUGAAGAACGCAGCGAAUUGCGAUAUGUAUUGUGAAUUGCAGAUUUUCGUGAAUCAUCAAAUCUUUGAACGCACAUUGCGCCCUCUGGUAUUCCAGGGGGCAUGCCUGUUUGAGCGUCAUUUCUCUCUCAAACCUUUGGGUUUGGUAGUGAGUGAUACUCGUUUUUCGGGUUAACUUGAAAGUGGCUAGCCGUUGCCUUCUGCGUGAGCAGGGCUGCGUGUCAAGUCUAUGGACUCGACUCUUGCACAUCUACGUCUUAGGUUUGCGCCAAUUCGUGGUAAGCUAGGGUCAAUGAGCUUAUAGGUGUUAUAAAGACUCNNNNGUGUUUGUCUCCUUGAGGCAUACGGCUUAACCAAAACUC